ACGGGAGUCGCUGAUCCGCGCCAUGGGGCUAUGGGGUGACGAUCUGGCGUUCAAAAUGGCAGCCGCGUUGCCGCCGCUGCCGUCGCGGCCGCAAUCGCUGCCCGGCAUCGAGACCGAGGCGGUUCGCCGUCACGUCGAUUUGCAGAUCGGGCGGAUCGAACUCGAUGCGCUGGCAAAAUCCUGGGGGCUGACGCAGGCGACGCGUUUCAUCAACGUGCUCGAU
rnacentral:misc_RNA from 1 species